GCAAUGGGGAUGAACUAAGCAUGCGAGUCAUUGUAGCAAUACAAGGCAGACGGCUCAGUAACGCGUAGUCAAUCUACCCUAUGGACGGGAAUAACCUCGGGAAACUGAGAAUAAUACCCGACAGAACAUUAUACCUGGAACGGUUUAUGUUUCAAAUGAUUUAUCGCCGUAGGAUGGGACUGCGGCCUAUCAGUUUGUUGGUGAGGUAAUGGCCCACCAAGACUAUUACAGGUACGGGCUCUGAGAGGAGUAGCCCGGAGAUGGGUACUGAGACACGGACCCAGGCCCUAUGGGGCGCAGCAGGCGAGAAAACUUUGCAAUGUGCGAAAGCACGACAAGGUUAAUCCGAGUGGUUUCUGCUAAAGAAACCUUUUGCUAGUCCUAGAAACACUAGUGAAUAAGGGGUGGGCAAGUUCUGGUGUCAGCCGCCGCGGUAAAACCAGCACCUCAAGUGGUCAGGAUGAUUAUUGGGCCUAAAGCAUCCGUAGCUCGUUUUGUAAGUUUUCGGUUAAAUCCAUACGCUUAACGUAUGGGCUGCCGGGAAUACUGCAUAACUAGGAAGUGGGAGAGGUAGACGGUACUCGGUAGGAAGGGGUAAAAUCCUUUGAUCUAUUGAUGACCACCUGUGGCGAAGGCGGUCUACCAGAACACGUUCGACGGUGAGGGAUGAAAGCUGGGGGAGCAAACCGGAUUAGAUACCCGGGUAGUCCCAGCUGUAAACUAUGCAAACUCAGUGAUGCAUUGGCUUGUGGCCAAUGCAGUGCUGCAGGGAAGCCGUUAAGUUUGCCGCCUGGGGAAGUACGUACGCAAGUAUGAAACUUAAAGGAAUUGGCGGGGGAGCACCACAAAGGGGUGAAGCCUGCGGUUCAAUUGGAGUCAACGCCGGA
rnacentral:rRNA from 1 species